rnacentral:rRNA from 1 species
CACGUAGGCACCAAGCGUUGUCCGGAUUUAUUGGGCGUAAAGAGCGUGUAGGCGGCCAGGUAGGUCUGCUGUGAAAACUCGAGGCUCAACCUCGAGACGUCGGCGGAAACCAUCUGGCUAGAGUCCGGAAGAGGAGAGUGGAAUUCCUGGUGUAGCGGUGAAAUGCGCAGAUAUCAGGAAGAACACCCGUGGCGAAGGCGGUUCUCUGGGACGGUACUGACGCUGAGACGCGAAAGCGUGGGGAGCGAACAGG